AAAGAACUAACAAGGAUUCCCCCAGUAACUGCGAGUGAAAAGGGAAAAGCCCAGCGCCGAAGCCGCCGUCCAUCACAGUGGGCGGAGGGCAAUGUGGCGUUAAGGAAGAGCCUCCUUGACCUGAUGUUUCGUUGUUCGGACCGCGGGAGCCUGAGUCCCCCUGACCGGGGCCACUGCCCAUGGCGGGUGCAAGGCCUCUUCGGCUCCGUUCGACGGUUCGAAGGUUGCUGGCUUCUUUCCUCAGAGUCGGGUUGCUUGAGAGUGCAGCCCUAAGCGGGUGGUAAACUCCACCUAAGGCUAAAUAUCACCACGAGACCGAUAGCGAACAAGUACCGUGAGGGAAAGUUGCAAAGAACUUUGAAGAGAGAGUUCAAGAGUACGUGAAACCGCUCGGAGGCAAACGGGUGGGCCCUCGAAGGUCGAACGGGGGAAUUCAGCCUGUCGGCUAGCGCUUCCUGAAGUCGAAAAGCAUUCGUGCGAAACGGAUCCGAAACAAAGCGGACCGGGCGACAGGAUUAACUUUUGCAAAAAAGCGUUGGUCGGCUCGUGCACUUUCCCCUUAGUAGGACGCCGCGACCGGUCGGGUCGAUGCAAAUCGAAAAGUUUUGCGGCCAUGAGGCGAGAACGAUCACGGGGGCAGGUGUCCGUUUCCGCGGGUCUCGCGUGCGCGGGGAGCAAUCUUCGCGCUGCGCGUUUCUCAGGUUCGGAGUUACAGCCCCUUCUCGACCCGUGCACCGCCACCCGACCGACAAAUGGUCACGAAUCCGUUGACGCGUGCCCGCGUGAAAGCGCCUCCUUUUCUCUUUUUCCUUUCGGGGGGAGAGUUUGGAGGGGGUGCCUAGCGCUCGCUCUAGUCCAGGGCAGGCAGGAUGCGAGAGUAAAAGUCCCGCCUCGACCCGUUUCAAACGCGGGUAGGGGAUCCGACGGGCGCCGAAAGCAAAAAACCGAAAAGGCGGUCGUCGGCUCCGCGUCUGCCGUUACGCCCACGNNNNNNNNNNNNNNNNNNNNNNNNNNNNNNNNNNNNNNNNNNNNNNNNNNNNNNNNNNNNNNGUCUGCUUUUAAACGAGCUAACCCGAUGGCGAAAUGAAAGUAAAGGCCGCCCCUUCAAUGGGGAUGCAGAACGGCCGAGGCGAGAUCCUAAAAAAGCCGUCUCUCUCUCACGGGGGAGCGGCGAAAUUUUUAAAAGAAACCGGACAUGGCAGGCACGCUCGGUCGUCAAAUAACCGCAGCGGUCCGGAGGCGCAUCGCCGGCCCGUCUCGAUCGCUCCGAUUUUCUUCCCUUCUCUCUCUUUCCGUCUCGAGAGGGGCCGGGAUUCUUCUCUUCGCGGGGAGUUUCUCGGUUCUUUCCUCUUUUCGGUCAGAAGGUUGGGGGCUAAAAGGAAUUUCAGUCGAUGAGGCGGAGCAAGAGCACACACGUUGGGACCCGAAAGAUGGUGAACUAUGCCCGGGCAGGACGAAGCCAGAGGAAACUCUGGUGGAGGUCCGCAGCGAUUCUGACGUGCAAAUCGAUCGUCGGACCUGGGUAUAGGGGCGAAAGACUAAUCGAACCGUCUAGUAGCUGGUUCCCUCCGAAGUUUCCCUCAGGAUAGCUGGCGCUCGGGAAUACUGAAGUUGAUGAAACAGUCUCAUCCGGUAAAGCGAAUGAUUAGAGGCAUUGGGGCCGAAACGGCCUCAACCUAUUCUCAAACUUUCAAUGGGUGAGAUGUCCGGCUUGCUUAACGAAUAGAAACAGGGGGGUCGGCGGAGGUUGGUUUUUCGCGCGGUCGCCCUAAACAAGCGGCUUAGCGUGGGAUUCCUUCUCUCGCGGUCGGCCACAAACCCUUGAAGCACGGACGUAGGAUGCGAGUGCCCAGUGGGCCACUUUUGGUAAGCAGAACUGGCGCUGUGGGAUGAACCAAAAGCCGGGUUACGGCGCCCGAUGCGGACGCUUAUCAGACCCCAUGAAAGGUGUUGGUUGCUAUUGACAGCAGGACGGUGGCCAUGGAAGUCGGAAUCCGCUAAGGAGUGUGUAACAACUCACCUGCCGAAGCAACUAGCCCUGAAAAUGGAUGGCGCUCCAGCGUCGAGCCUAACCCCGGCCGCCGGACGGCAUUGAAACAAUGAACUGAUUAACAAAAUCGAUGCCCCGGCGAGUAGGAGGGUCGCGGUGGUGAGCGUUGAAGGGAUCGGGCGCGAGCCUGCCUGGAGCCGCCACCGGUGCAGAUCUUGGUGGUAGUAGCAAAUACUCGAGUGAGAACCUUGAGGACUGAAGUGGAGAAGGGUUCCAUGUGAACAGCAGUUGAACAUGGGUCAGUCGGCCCUAAGGAAUAGGGGAAACCCGUUCCGAAAAGAAACCGGAAUAAAUUACGUGUGCAAAAAUUGACCGGUGAUGACCGAAAGGGAAUCGGGUUAAUAUUCCCGAACCCGGAUGCGGAGAUCGACCCUCGCGGGUCUGAAGCGGUAACGCGCAACGAACUCGGAGAUUGCCGGCGGGGGCCCCGGGAAGAGUUUUCUUUUCUUUGUAAAGGACGGACUCCCUGGAAUCGGCUCGCCCGGAGAGAGGGAUGUUGUUCCUGUAAAGCACCGCGGCUCUUGCGGUGUCCGGAGCGCUCUCGUCGGCCCUUGAAAAUCCGAGGGAGUGAAUGAAUGAUUUCCGCACCGGACCGUACCCAUAUCCGCAGCAG
rnacentral:rRNA from 1 species